GUUAUUUUGUCUGCACGGCAACAAUAAUCAUCAAAUCGAACUCUACAGAGAGUUAUGGGCCUAUCACCUCUGCAUAUUCUCAGCGUAAAAUUUGCUUCUUGUUUGUGCUUUUGGUGCUCACUGUCAGUUUUUCAUCAAUGUUAUGUACGAUUGUAUGUCCGUGCAAAUUUCUUUCACUCUUAUCUCCACGAAACCAACCCAUCUUUCAUCUUUGGGUGAAAAAAAUUUAGGCGGAAUAGUCUGGAGCUAAGGGCAAGAAGGACAGACGAGACAAGGAAGCAAAACUAAAACGAGAAAAAGAGAGCAACACAAGGGAGCACCAGGACAUAUUUAUCGGAUAAUCAAUUAAUGUUAUUAUUUAUAAUAAAUAUCUUUAUAUACUCACCUUAUAAGUGGUAUGAUUGUAUAUAUAAUUUUUAUAUAAAUGAUAUGAUUUUGUGUGUGUAUCAGGGUGUAUACUUCCUCCGUCCAUUUUUACUUAUCCUGUAUAUUAAAAAUAAAUGUCCA